rnacentral:rRNA from 1 species
UGUGGGGGAUAACCAUUGGAAACGAUGGCUAAUACCGCAUAAUGCCUACGGGCCAAAGAGGGGGACCUUCGGGCCUCUCGCGUCAGGAUAUGCCUAGGUGGGAUUAGCUAGUUGGUGAGGUAAGGGCUCACCAAGGCGACGAUCCCUAGCUGGUCUGAGAGGAUGAUCAGCCACACUGGAACUGAGACACGGUCCAGACUCCUACGGGAGGCAGCAGUGGGGAAUAUUGCACAAUGGGCGCAAGCCUGAUGCAGCCAUGCCGCGUGUAUGAAGAAGGCCUUCGGGUUGUAAAGUACUUUCAGUCGUGAGGAAGGCGGCGUCGUUAAUAGCGGCGUUGUUUGACGUUAGCGACAGAAGAAGCACCGGCUAACUCCGUGCCAGCAGCCGCGGUAAUACGGAGGGUGCGAGCGUUAAUCGGAAUUACUGGGCGUAAAGCGCAUGCAGGUGGUUUGUUAAGUCAGAUGUGAAAGCCCGGGGCUCAACCUCGGAAUAGCAUUUGAAACUGGCAGACUAGAGUACUGUAGAGGGGGGUAGAAUUUCAGGUGUAGCGGUGAAAUGCGUAGAGAUCUGAAGGAAUACCGGUGG